rnacentral:rRNA from 1 species
GCUACGGGGGGCAGCAGUGAGGAAUAUUGGUCAAUGGGCGAGAGCCUGAACCAGCCAAGUCGCGUGAAGGAUGACUGCCCUACGGGUUGUAAACUUCUUUUAUAAAGGAAUAAAGUGAGGCACGUGUGCCUUUUUGUAUGUACUUUAUGAAUAAGGAUCGGCUAACUCCGUGCCAGCAGCCGCGGUAAUACGGAGGAUCCGAGCGUUAUCCGGAUUUAUUGGGUUUAAAGGGAGCGUAGAUGGGUUGGUAAGUCAGUUGUGAAAGUUUGCGGCUCAACCGUAAAAUUGCAAUUGAUACUGGUAUUCUUGAGUACAGUUGAGGUAGGCGGAAUGCGUGGUGUAGCGGUGAAAUGCGUAGAUAUCACGAAGAACUCCGAUUGCGAAGGCAGCUUACUAAACUGCCACUGACAUUGAUGCUCGAAAGUGUGGGUAUCAAACAGGAUUAGAUACCCGUGUAGUC